rnacentral:rRNA from 1 species
CCUACGGGUGGCAGCAGUGAGGGAUAUUGGUCAAUGGCCGGAAGCCUGAACCAGCCAUGCCGCGUGAAGGUCAGUGCCCUAUGGGCGUUAAACUUCUUUUGUGCGGGAGCAAUAAUGGUCACGUGUGGCCAGACGAGAGUACCGUACGAAUAAGCAUCGGCUAACUCCGUGCCAGCAGCCGCGGUAAUACGGGGGAUGCAAGCGUUAUCCGGAGUUAUUGGGUUUAAAGGGUGCGUAGGCUGGGAGGUAAGUCAGCGGUGAAAUGCCACCGGUCAACGGGGUGAAGUGCCAUUGAUACUGCCGUGCUGGAGUGCGGAUGCCGUAGGAGGAAUGCGUGGUGUAGCGGUGAAAUGCAUAGAUAUCACACAGAACACCGAUUGCGAAGGCAUCUCACGAAUCCGCGAUUGACGCUGAUGCACGAAAGCGUGGGUAUCAAACAGGAUUAGAUACCCGAGUAGUC